CCUGGCGGCGAUAGCGCGGUGGUCCCACCUGACCCCAUGCCGAACUCAGAAGUGAAACGCCGUAGCGCCGAUGGUAGUGUGGGGUCUCCCCAUGCGAGAGUAGGGAACUGCCAG
rnacentral:rRNA from 2 species